rnacentral:rRNA from 1 species
GCAAGUCGAACGGUAACAUAGAUUGCUUGCAAUCUGAUGACGAGUGGCGCACGGGUGCGUAACGCGUAUGCAAUCUACCUUUUACAGAAGAAUAGCCCAGAGAAAUUUGGAAUAAUGCUCCAUAAUAUCAUGUAUCAGCAUUGAUUUAUGAUUAAAGCUCCGGCGGUAAAAGAUGAGCAUGCGUUCUAUUAGCUAGUAGGUGAGGUAACGGCUCACCUAAGCUACGAUAGAUAGGGGCCCUGAGAGGGGGAUCCCCCACACUGGUACUGAGACACGGACCAGACUCCUACGGGAGGCAGCAGUGAGGAAUAUUGGACAAUGGAGGAAACUCUGAUCCAGCCAUGCCGCGUGCGGGAUGACUGCCCUAUGGGUUGUAAACUGCUUUUAUAUAGGAAGAAACACUCCCACGUGUGGGGGCUUGACGGUACUAUAUGAAUAAGGAUCGGCUAACUCCGUGCCAGCAGCCGCGGUAAUACGGAGGAUCCAAGCGUUAUCCGGAAUCAUUGGGUUUAAAGGGUCCGCAGGCGGCCUGUUAAGUCAGAGGUGAAAUCCUACAGCUCAACUGUAGAACUGCCUUUGAUACUGAUAGGCUUGAGUUAUUGUGAAGUGGUUAGAAUGUGUGGUGUAGCGGUGAAAUGCUUAGAUAUCACACAGAAUACCCAUUGCGAAGGCAGAUCACUAACAAUAUACUGACGCUCAUGGACGAAAGCGUGGGGAGCGAACAGGAUUAGAUACCCUGGUAGUCCACGCCGUAAACGAUGGAUACUAACUGUUCGACCUUCGGGUUGAGUG